GACGAACGCUGGCGGCGUGCUUAACACAUGCAAGUCGAACGGAAAGGCCCUGCUUGCAGGGUACUCGAGUGGCGAACGGGUGAGUAACACGUGGGUGAUCUGCCCUGCACUUCGGGAUAAGCCUGGGAAACUGGGUCUAAUACCGGAUAGGAGCCAUUUUUAGUGUGAUGGUUGGAAAGUUUUUUCGGUGUAGGAUGAGCUCGCGGCCUAUCAGCUUGUUGGUGGGGUAAUGGCCUACCAAGGCGGCGACGGGUAGCCGGCCUGAGAGGGUGGACGGCCACUUUGGGGCUGAGAUACGGCCCAGACUCCUACGGGAGGCAGCAGUGGAGAAUAUUGCACAAUGGGCGCGAGCCUGAUGCAGCGACGCCGCGUGGGGGAUGACGGCCUUCGGGUUGUAAACUCCUUUCGCUAGGGACGAAGCUUUUUGUGACGGUACCUAGAUAAGAAGCACCGGCUAACUACGUG
rnacentral:rRNA from 1 species